GACGAACGCUGGCGGCGUGCUUAACACAUGCAAGUCGAACGGAAAGGCCCUGCUUUUGUGGGGUGCUCGAGUGGCGAACGGGUGAGUAACACGUGAGUAACCUGCCCUUGACUUUGGGAUAACUUCAGGAGACUGGGGCUAAUACCGGAUAGGAGCUCCUGCUGCAUGGAGGGGGUUGGAAAGUUUCGGCGGUUGGGGAUGGACUCGCGGCUUAUCAGCUUGUUGGUGGGGUAGUGGCUUACCAAGGCUUUGACGGGUAGCCGGCCUGAGAGGGUGACCGGCCACAUUGGGACUGAGAUACGGCCCAGACUCCUACGGGAGGCAGCAGUGGGGAAUAUUGCACAAUGGGCGGAAGCCUGAUGCAGCAACGCCGCGUGCGGGAUGACGGCCUUCGGGUUGUAAACCGCUUUCGCCUGUGACGAAGCGUGAGUGACGGCAAUGGGUAAAGAAGCACCGGCUAACUACGUG
rnacentral:rRNA from 1 species